AUAACGACUCUCGGCAACGGAUAUCUCGGCUCUCGCAUCGAUGAAGAACGUAGCGAAAUGCGAUACUUGGUGUGAAUUGCAGAAUCCCGUGAACCAUCGAGUCUUUGAACCCAAGUUGCGCCCAAAGCCAUUAGGCCGAGGGCACGCCUGCCUGGGCGUCUCGCA
rnacentral:rRNA from 1 species